rnacentral:rRNA from 1 species
GACGAACCACACGAACGUUAUUCGGAAUUACUGGGCUUAAAGGGUGCGUAGGCGGCGCGGUAAGUAGGGUGUGAAAUCUCGGAGCUUAACUCCGAAACUGCAUUCGAUACUGCCGUGCUUGAGGACUGGAGAGGAGACUGGAAUUUACGGUGUAGCGGUGAAAUGCGUAGAUAUCGUAAGGAAGACCAGUGGCGAAGGCGGGUCUCUGGACAGUUCCUGACGCUGAGGCACGAAGGUCAGGGGAGCAAACGGG